rnacentral:rRNA from 1 species
AGUAGAACGCUGAAGAGAGGAGCUUGCUCUUCUUGGAUGAGUUGCGAACGGGUGAGUAACGCGUAGGUAACCUGCCUUGUAGCGGGGGAUAACUAUUGGAAACGAUAGCUAAUACCGCAUAACAAUGGAUGACACAUGUCAUUUAUUUGAAAGGGGCAAUUGCUCCACUACAAGAUGGACCUGCGUUGUAUUAGCUAGUAGGUGAGGUAACGGCUCACCUAGGCGACGAUACAUAGCCGACCUGAGAGGGUGAUCGGCCACACUGGGACUGAGACACGGCCCAGACUCCUACGGGAGGCAGCAGUAGGGAAUCUUCGGCAAUGGGGGCAACCCUGACCGAGCAACGCCGCGUGAGUGAAGAAGGUUUUCGGAUCGUAAAGCUCUGUUGUAAGUCAAGAACGAGUGUGAGAGUGGAAAGUUCACACUGUGACGGUAGCUUACCAGAAAGGGACGGCUAACUACGUGCCAGCAGCCGCGGUAAUACGUAGGUCCCGAGCGUUGUCCGGAUUUAUUGGGCGUAAAGCGAGCGCAGGCGGUUUGAUAAGUCUGAAGUUAAAGGCUGUGGCUCAACCAUAGUUCGCUUUGGAAACUGUC